rnacentral:rRNA from 1 species
GCGUAACAAGGUCUCCGUUGGUGAACCAGCGGAGGGAUCAUUACCGAGUUUACAACUCCCAAACCCUUAUGUGAACCGUACCUAUCGUUGCUUCGGCGGGAACGCCCCGGCGCCCUGCGCCCGGAUCCAGGCGCCCGCCGGAGACCCCAAACUCUUGUGUUUUUUUCAGUAUUCUCUGAGUGGCAAACGCAAAAAUAAAUCAAAACUUUUAACAACGGAUCUCUUGGCUCUGGCAUCGAUGAAGAACGCAGCGAAAUGCGAUAAGUAAUGUGAAUUGCAGAAUUCAGUGAAUCAUCGAAUCUUUGAACGCACAUUGCGCCCGUUAGCAUUCUAGCGGGCAUGCCUGUCCGAGCGUCAUUUCAACCCUCAGGGUCCCCGUUCCGGCGGGGAACCUGGUGUUGGGGAUCGGCCCGCCCCGUGCGGCGCCGUCCCCCAAAUUCAGUGGCGGUCUCGCUGCAGCCUCCCCUGCGUAGUAGUUACAACCUCGCAUCGGAGCUCAGCGCGGCCACGCCGUAAAACCCCCGACUUUCUGAACGUUGACCUCGGAUCAGGUAGGAAUACCCGCUGAACUUAAGCAUAUC